rnacentral:rRNA from 1 species
AUGGAUAGUAAUAGGGCUCCCGGGCCCGACAACAUUCCGACUGAGUUUUGCAAAAGCUAUUGGGAGUUUGUGAAACUAAAUAUUAUGUGUCUCUUUGAUGCUUUCCAUGCGGGAACGCUGGAUGUGUCUCGAUUGAAUUAUGGCAUGGUCACCUUAAAUCCUAAACUUUUGAGGGCUAAGAAAAUGCAGCAAUUCCGCCCUAUGUGUCUCUUCCACUACCGUUACAAAUUGAUCACAAAAGCCCUAGACAACCAUGUAGCAGUGUAUGUUGAUAAACUCAUUAGUCGGCACCAGAAUGCGUUUAUCAAAGGUAGAAGCAUUAUGGAUGGGAUUCUAACUCUUCAGGAAGUCCUUCACCACACUCAUGUUACGAAGAAAACUGGGGUGGUUUAG